rnacentral:rRNA from 1 species
ACGAUGUGCGUGCAGUGACGGAGGUGAAGACGGGGGGGGCGAGCUGUGUUCGUAAGGACUGGGCGUAAAGCGUAAGUAGGCGGACCUGAAAGUUGGUGGUGAAAUUCCGGUGCGCAACCUCGUAACUGCCUUCAAAACUACUGGUCUUGAGUUCGAGAGAGGUGGUGGGAAUGCCGAGUGUAGAGGUGAAAUUCGUAGAUAUUCGGAGGAACACCAGUGGCGAAGGCGGCUCACUGGCUCGAUACUGACGCUGAGGUGCGAAAGCGUGGGGAGCAAACAGGAUUAGAUACCCCUGUAGUC